AUGGCAGGACAAGAGGAUCUGGUGCAGCAGGAGAUUCAGUAGGACUGGGCGAACUGGGAGUACAUUGAGAUAAUCACCAGCAGCAUCAAGAAAACUGCAGACUUUCUCAACUCGUUCAAUAUGUCUUAUUCAAGAUUUGCAACACUAAGGGAGAAAUUGACAGCCCUUGAACAGAGAAUAGAGUACAUUGAAGCAUGGGUGACAAAAGGUGAGAUGCUUACC
rnacentral:lncRNA from 1 species